GACAAACGCUGGCGGCGUGCGUAACACAUGCAAGUCGAACGGACUGGGAGACCGGUCAGUGGCGGACGGGUGCGGAACACGUGGAUAACCGACCGUGAGCUGGGGAAUACCCUCCCGAAAGGGAGGCUAAUACCGCAUAGGCUGGAGACAGCAAAGCCUUCGGGCGGCACACGACGGGUCUGCGGUCGAUUAGCUAGUUGGUGGGGUAAGGGCCUACCAAGGCGAUGAUCGAUAGCUGGUCUGAGAGGAUGAUCAGCCACACUGGGAUUGAGAACGG
rnacentral:rRNA from 1 species